rnacentral:rRNA from 1 species
GACGAACCGUGCGAACGUUGUUCGGAUUCACUGGGCUUAAAGGGCGCGUAGGCGGUCGACCAAGUCUGGGGUGAAAUCUUUCGGCUUAACCGGAAAAGUGCCCCCGAUACUGGCCGGCUAGAGGGAGAUAGGGGCAUGUGGAACUUCCGGUGGAGCGGUGAAAUGCGUAGAUAUCGGAAGGAACGCCGGUGGCGAAAGCGACGUGCUGGAUCUCUGCUGACGCUGAGGCGCGAAAGCCAGGGGAGCAAACGGG